UACUGGGGGGGCUAGCGUUAUUCAAAUUUAUUUGGUGUAAAGGGUGCGUAGAUUAUUUAUUUAAUUUUAAAUGAAAUUCUAAUAGUAAUAUUAGUAAAAAUGUUUUUAAUAUUAAUAAAUUUAUGUGUAUAUUUGGAGAUAAUAGAAUUGUUAGUUUAAUGAGAUAAAAUUCGUAGAAAUUAAUAAGAAUACUAAAUAGCGAAAGCUUUUAUUUAAAAUAUACAGACAUUGAGGCACGAAAGCGUGGGUAGCAAAUGGG
rnacentral:rRNA from 1 species